rnacentral:rRNA from 1 species
AUACGUAGGUGGCGAGCGUUGUCCGGAUUUACUGGGUGUAAAGGGUGCGCAGGCGGCCGUGCAAGUCAGCGGUGAAAGCCCGGGGCUCAACCCCGGAAGUGCCGUUGAUACUGCAUGGCUGGAAUGCGGUCGAGGCGGGCGGGACGGGGAGUGUAGCGGUGAAAUGCGUAGAUAUGCCACAGAAAGCCGAUAGCGGAGGCAGCUCGCCAGGCCUGCAUUGACGCUCGGGCACGAAAGCGUGGGGAUCGAACAGGAUUAGAUACCCUGGUAGUCCACGCCGUAAACGAUGGGCGCUCGUCGUCGGCGGCAGACAGUCGGCGGCCAAGCGAAAGCGAUAAGCGCCCCACCUGGGGAGUACGGUCGCAAGGCUGAAACUCAGAUGAAUUGACGGGG